GACUGUGGAGCCCAGGGCAGGCUGUCUUUGUGACUGCAGGGAAGGUACCAUCAUCAGGAAAAUUUCCGUUCCUUUUGUGGGCUCAGAGAAUUUUGGUGCCAUUCAGACUUAGGAUCAAAUCCUGCCUCCGCCACUUACCAGCUGUGUGAUCUUUGGCAGUUGUUUAACUUCUUGGUUGACUCAUCUAUGAAGUCCAUGUGUCACUGGGCCAUGAGGGGUUGAUGGAAGAUUUGUCAGAGAGGUCUGACCAUCAGCCACAGUUCCCGGGCUUGCAGCUGGAUGCAGUGACGACAUGAGAUUUUCAUUUGGGGAACCAGCCCUUGGCCACUGUUUUGCAGCCAUACAGAAUGGAGUGGGUUGAUCUGAGACCCUUCAGAUAAUCCCAUGCCCUUGGCACAGUGAUUGGAUCAGGAAGCUGGAACCUGAAUUGCUACCAACAGCCAUCUUUCAACCAGGAAAGGAGUCAGUCUAAGAAACAUGCAGAGAAGAACAAAUCUGAGAGAAGCAGAGCCAGAGUCCUGAUCAAACCUUACCUGAAGCCCACAUUACUGCUGGCCUUUUCACUUAGUCAACCAGUAAAUCCUUUUUACUGUUUGUCAGUUUGACUUGGUUAGUCUGAUACUUGCAGCCUAAACUAAUACACGAACGGAUGAAGAAAUGAACCACUUAUUACGCACAAGCUUGAGGUCAGGUUAAAAUCAGGAGCUCGAACCAAAUAGGAGGUCAAGAGUAUAGAAAUAGUCCCAGUACACCUUGAAUAAGGAGCUCUACUUCAAACAGAAAUCUUAUAUGUAACAUCAGCAGAAGAUAGUCUUCCCAGGGCUUGGACAGCACAGGUCUGAAAGCUCAAAGUGUGGCUGUGCUGCAAACUGGGGGGUGGGCCAGUGGGGAGCAGAGACUCCUCGAGGAAAGUCUUGCUAUGAGGUUUAUUCUCAUGCUAGGGAUACCUGGCUACUAUUCAAAAGCCUUCAAAGACAGUGCUAAGAGUAAAGGAAUAGUAAAAGAAGGAGAGAUGAUCAAUCAGGAAUCCUCAAUCAGCAUCAGAAAAGAAGUAGUAAAAUCUUACAGUUAAGAGUAUGGACUUGGUGGGCAGACCUGGUUUCAAAUGCUGGCUCUGCUGCUUACUGGCAAGUUGUCUGACACGCUGAGCCUUAUUGCCUCAUCUGUAAAAUGAGGGAAAAUACUAAGAACUUCUUUGAAGGUUGUUGCAAAUAUUAAAUGUGACAUCUUCUGUAAAGCCUGGAACAUAGAAAGAUUCAAUUAGUGAUGAAUAGUUUUAUUUGUUAUUAAUAGAACUAGGAUUGUUCAUAUUGGUAGAACUUUUGAAAGGCUGUUUAAAAGUUGGGUGGCUGCAAGAUUUUGUGACUUUAGCAGGAAGGCUGUCCUGGUGUAGAAUGAUCGUGUCAUUUACCUUUCAGAUUCUCUUGGUUAUUUUUGUAUCUCUCUUGCCAAACUUUGCGUAAGAGAGAAGCCAUGCUUAGUUAGAGUAAUUUCUAAUUUCCACUUGACCCUAGAGUUGCUGUAGUUAUUUCAGUGAAGUCACACUGGAGUUCUCUGGAGGGGAGAUGGGAGCCGGGUCUGAAAUUGCAAUGCCUGGUACACAGUAGGCGCUCAAUUAAUGUUCUCUGAACUUUGGGGACGGAGGGUUGAUUGUUUCCCAUCAGACAUGAUCACUAAAGGAUACUUUGGGAAGGGCCCUGAAAGAUAUAAAUAUGCCAGAUUCUCUUCUUGUUUCUGCAUUUUAACACCUUUGGGCACGGAAUUCGUUUGUGUUCUGGAAUGGGUCUAAACUUACCGUGAGAAAGAUAAGUAAGUUGUCUGCAGCCUACCUCAACUAGAAAUGCUUCUGCUCGUGGGGAUGACCUCAAAGUUUCUCAGAGCUGAAGCCAGUAAGGAGGGCCCCGCUUACUAGAAAGUUCUGCAUUGUAGUUGGUUCACUCUGUGGCCUGAGGCAAGCCAUUUAACCUCUUGGUGUCUGGAUUUCCUCAUCUGUGAGCCAGGGAUAAUAAUACUUCCCUACUUCACAGGUGUGUUGGGGCAUUAAUUAAUGUCUGUCUCGUGCUUGGGGAUCUGUGAUGAAAGGCAGGCAUCAUUAUUGUCGGUUUGCUGCAGGCAAGACUAGAUUAUGGUCCUCCAGAUGGGCUGCACAUGGGAAGUGGUUUUAGCAAAAGAUUUUCCCAAAUGAAAUACAGGCUUUGAGGUUGGGGCCACUUCAAAAGAAAAGGUGCCAGUGGAACUUCAUCCUCUCCUCCUUGCCUUAGUUGGCUUGAGUUUUGCUAUCAUGUGGAGUUAGAAGUCAGCUUCCAACACUAUAUGUUAAUUUAUCGGACAAGUAACAUUUAGCUAGUUUGUUUCCACCGUCUCUGCUAUGCACAGACUUUUAAGGAUCCCAAUUAAGUAGGUGAGCCAGCUGUUGCUGAAAACGCUUAAUUCCUUGUGAGGAGUGUUUAGUGUGUAGGAGCCAUUUAGUGUGAUAGACAAAGCCACUGUGUUUUACCAGCACCAGUGGACAAGGCAAAUAGAUAAGAGGUUUCAAUCUUUCUGUUUUGUUUUGUUUGACUCCUUCCUCCACCUCUCCGCUCUCUUAAAAAUAGCCUUCUUCACAAAAGAGCCCUGGGUGUUCUUAAAAGCUUUUAAGGAGAAACAUUUUGAGAGGACUUCUGGGCAAAGAGACCACAGUGCCUGGACAGUUAAGGGGGGACAGAAAAAAAUCUCUCUUUUGAGUACUAGACAAACUUUUGUUUUCCAAAAAUUGGAAAAAUCGAUUCAGACAUUUGUCCAAUUAAAGGGCAAAGAUAACAUUUCUUUCCCCAUGAGAAGUGUAUUUUCUCUUAUAAAUGCAGAAGAAAGCGAGAUAAAAUAUUUUCUUAAUAUUAUCAACCAUGGUAAUAGGAAAAUAAAUAGGAAGAAUCUUGUUGGUUAAUUCCUGCUGCUCAAAAUCUGCCCCGGCAGAAACGCACGUGGUGGGAGCGCUGUUAAUGCGUUUGAUUCAGUUACAAAGUAAGCAGCACGUUCAUUCAGCACAUAUUUACCUCUAUGUAUUCUAAGUGUCGGGCACUAUUCUGGACGCUGGGAAAUGAUUGAUGAGCAACACAGCAGCCCUACUGUCGUGGAGCUUCUAUUUCACCGGGGAAGAUGGAAUACACAAAGAAACAAUUCUGAGUGCCGAGGACUAACACGAGGGGAUGCGGUAGAGUUCGGCGGGGAUUCCGUUUGGAGGGCCAGAACGGCCUCUCGGGGAGGUGGCUGUAAGAUAGUAAGGACUCACGGUGGGAGCAAAGUGGAAGACUUUAACGUUAGAAAAUGACUUUGCUGUCACGAAGAAACCUUCAGUGGGAAAGGAAUGCAGCUUGGGAUUCCAGCACACCCCUCCAAUGUGGUGUCCAAUUGUUUCUUCUCUAGUUUGGCUUCUUCCAUUGUGUGCUGCAUAUAAAGGAAAGUGGAUUAUGUUUGGAACCAUCAAAUUAGGACAGCUGGCUGGUGUUCUGGAAAGGACUGAGGAGCAUAUGAGGAGACCUGGUUGAUCCUGGUUUUUUCAGUACUUUGCUGAGUUAGUCAUCCACUCUCUAGACCUGUUUCCUUACCUAAAAGAAAAAAAGGAGGUUUUGGUGAGGUCCUUUUCAGCUCUAUUUCUAGGAACAAUAUAGAAGCACGAUUCAAUUACUUUAAACCCUUGGUUGCUGGAAAUCUACGAGGAUGAUAAAAGAAAGCAACAAAAAAUUUGGAAAGUUCGCAUAUCAGUAGCUCAAAAAAUUGAAGAUAAUUAGGCAGAUAGCUGGAUGCAAAAGCUAGAUGUCUUGAGUAUUUUUAUAAUGAGUCUUUAUUUCUCUUUGCUCUUUUAGAAAAUGAGUUUUUAGAAAUCUGCAGUAGAGAGUUUUCAAAAGAUUGGAAAAGCAAAUAAUCAUUACUACUGUAAUGUUUGUGAUUUUCAUUACAUUUGAGUUUUCCGUGAUUUCAAAAACUGCCACAAAUGAAUAGACGUGAAAUGUCUUAAAGUUUUGCAGCUAAGAAUUCCAUUUGCAACAAAAAUUAGACUGUUAAAAGUAAAUUCAGUUAGUAAAUUUAGAAGGAAUAAUUUUUACUCUAAUAUCCCAAACUCUUUCAGAGGAAUUAAGGCUUUUCUUCAACAAUAAUAUCAUAAACACAAUUUUAUGAGCAAAUUAAAUUAUGCAUUCUUUUGUCUAUAAACUAGUAAAAUGACACUAACAAUCUUAGCUUCCAUGGUGUUCAACACUUUGCAACAACAGUUUCAUGUUUCUUCUUUUUCUUUGAGCCUCAUAACUGCUUUGAAAGUAAAUUGGAUAGAAUUUAUUAUUCCCACUUCACAUAUGAGGAAAAAGAGGCUCAGGACUUGGGAUUUUCCUGGAUUUAUGUAGCUAUUAAUUUAAGCUAGAAUCCGAGAUCCUGAAUCCUGUCUAAUGCUCCAAGCAUCCAAAAAUGGGUGCACACAUAACCUGAGUUUCUCUUCUGUGUUUUGCUGGGUUUUUUUGUUUUUUGUUUUAAUAAAGGACCCCAAAGUACUUCCAACAAUUCCUGGCAGACUUUGAGACUGCUGUGUGGCACAGGACCUUAUGAACAAGUUUGGGCAGCUACAGCGAAUCUGCCAGUCAUGUCCCUUCUGCUGUCACCCUACUCCUUCAAGCCCUGCUGUCAGGCAUGGCUGUCACUUCUGUCAGGCCACUCUUACUUGUUGCUGUGGUGAGAUCUUAGUUGUGUUGGGGUGUUUCUUGUAUUUUAGACAAAAUCUAGGUGAGAAUGGUGCAUCUUAUUCUGAAUUCACUUUGAGGUAUUGUGGCAAUGCAAAACUGAGACAAAAUCCUUUUUAAAAACAUUCCUUCAUGGAGUAUAACAUUUUAACAAUUGGAUUUUAGGAAUCUGAUUAUGUUUUGCCUAAAAUGCAUCAAUAAAGACUGUGUUCAGUGUGAUAAGGAAGGAACAAAGAACAUAAGACUUUGUGCCACUCUCCAGGCCUUACAUUCUCUGAGCAUAAAAUAUUAAGGCUUUCAAUUAGAAUAUAGUUGAAUGAUUAUAUGAAAGAUUUUGCUGUGCCAUUUUGAGACACUGCUAUAAGAUCUGCUAAAUACGUCUACAAGUCAAAGAGAUUGAGGGAGGCAGAAUAAUCCACUUGAAGGCUGUGGAGAAAAGAUGGAGGAAACGCAAGGGAAUGAAAGAGUUGAGUUGAGAGAGAAGAACCAGGCAUAAUUUUGUUCAAAAUUUUACUCUUUGUUAGCAGUAAAUUAAAAUAAGGUAGUGCUUUCUGAUGACUCAUAAGAUAGAUGUUGCAUGAAAGGGUAUUGGAAUCAACAGUCACAAAUAAGACAGCGAAACAUGGAAGAAUGAUCUUAGGUAGUUUGUUCCACUUGCCUUUUAUCUUUUACACCUGUGUUUGAAUUCAUCCAAACUUGCAUAAAUCCUUUACGCAGCUGUCGAAAUCGCACCUGAACAAGGGCUGAAGUCUCAGAUGGGCUAACAUUUCAUCAUUCUGAAUACUUAAACCCAAACAGGUUUAAACACUUUGCCAAACUCAAGGAUAACGGGCUUCCCAUUGAUCUUUGCUCUGUCCACAUGUUCUGCUGCGUGUGCCAAAAUGCACACUGCAGACUGCACUGGAUAGAAUCCCAUGAUUUUUAGCUACAGAAAAGCUCAAAAAUAUGGUUUUAAGGAUGAACAGUCUUCUUUGAAAUAUAUAGAGAAACACAUAUUUUGAUAUAUAUCAUUAGAUAAAGCGCAGUUGGUUGCUUGUACAAACCAAUCUACUGAAUUGAAUUUUUAUUUUCUUGUAAACAAGUAGAUAAAUAUAGUGUAUUUCUGAAAAGAACUAAUUACGUUUCUGAUAUUUUCACUAGAACUUCUUAUGACUUCUAUUCUGACUUCCCCAAUCUUAUCAUUUUUAACUUGAGGUCUGUCAUUAAAAUUUUUAAAAAAUUGGGAAAGUGUACACUGGCAUUGUAAAAUAUUCACACAGUACGGAAAGCUAUAGGAUGAAAAGUGGAAGGCCUCCUGUAUUAUCUUUCCCCCAAACUCCCCUCCUAGAGGUAACCCCUUUAACAGUUUUGUAUAUAUCCUUUUAGAUCUUUUGUAAAAUGCAUUACUUUCUGUGUGUGUAUGCAAUUAUAAAUAAAC